CAUCAACACUAAGCACUCAUUAAAUAGUGUUCUCAUUUGAAGGGUACAUUAUUUUUAAACUAUAGACAUUAUUGGUAUAUUUGAAAUGGAAAUAAUUCUUUGAAUUUUUAUUUGAAAUGGCAGUCAUUAAUCCCUACCUUUAAUAUUUCAUAAAUAUUCUAUAUGAAAACCACAUUUUUAUAGAAGAUAUAUUUUUAUUUUUAUCUCAAAAACUUUAUUAUACUUAAUUUAGCUGAUUCUAAUAAAAUAUACACUUUGUGAGUUUAAGCGCCUGUGUACAUUAUAUUUAUACAUAUCUAUAUAUUCUUAAUCUGGUAAAAGCUUUAUUGAGCUAUAAUUCACAUACCAUACAGUUCUCCCAUUUAAAUCAUAAAAUUCAGUGUUUUUCAGUGUAUUCAGAGUUGCGCAGCCAUCACCACAGUCAAUUUUAAAGCAUUUUUAUCACUCCAAAAAGAAACCCUAUACCCUUUACAUCACCUAAAUUAUUCUCCUGACUCCCUUUGGCUUUUUCCUAUGAUAAAAAUUGUUUCAGAAUUGUGAAAAUUAUCUAAUAUUAGAUAAUUGUUUUUGUAAUUAAAAAGUUCCAUGCUUAUUAUAGAAAAUUUAGAGAAGCAGAGAAAUAUUAAUAAUUCUCGAUCUCAACACUUAGUGAAGAAUCACUAUUAAGCACUGUUAAUUUUAUGUUGUGUAUCUUUUGCAGUCUUUUGUUUCUUUACUGUAUAUAUAUUAUGUGUGCAUAUAUGCGUGGUGUAUUAGAAAAAUGGAGUAGAACUACUCUCUUUGUUUUGUAACUUUUAUACUUAACACUGUAUCAUCAAUAUCGUCUCAUGUAUUGAAUAUUUUUUAAUAGAAAAAAAUCUUAACUUGAGCUCUUUGGACCCUUAUAGAAUCCAAGGAUGGCCUUUAUGAAAUCCAUGAGCCCUUUGAAAUUCCAUGUACAGUUUUGCAUUAUAUGUACAUGUAUACCUGGUUUUGGGUGAAAAGAAUUGAUAGCUUUUUCACAUUCUAAAGCAGAAGUAUGACUCUCAAAAAUGAAUAAAAAUGAAUCAUCUAUGGGCUCAUUUAAAAUGGCUACAUAGAAUUCUGUUACUGAUUUGUUGUAAUUCUUUAAGAGAGUUCUUAUUGCCAGAAUUUAGAUUGUUCCCUAUUGAUAAACAGCACUGUGUUGAGCUUCUUUUGUAUAGAGGGUUUUUGUAAUUUUAGUGUCAUUGCCCUAUACUUUCUGAAGCAUUUUUUUGUUAGAUCAAUUUAGUAAAUUAACUAAUUUCAUAAAAUGCAGACCAAAAAGAAUUUGGAAUACGUGGACAAAAAUCUUUUCAAUGGCUAACUCUUUUAAAAAUCUAAAUUAAAGUCAUAUUAAUUU